UACGUAGGUGGCAAGCGUUGUCCGGAUUUAUUGGGUUUAAAGGGUGCGUAGGCGGUCUAUUAAGUCAGUUGUGAAAUACGGCAGCUCAACUGUCGAGGUGCAAUUGAUACUGAUGGACUUGAGUACUGAUGAGGUAAGCGGAAUGGACGGUGUAGCGGUGAAAUGCUUAGAUAUCGUCCAGAACACCGAUAGCGAAGGCAGCUUACUAAGGAGUAACUGACGCUGAGGCACGAAAGUGUGGGGAUCAAACAGG
rnacentral:rRNA from 2 species